rnacentral:misc_RNA from 1 species
UACGUAGGUGGCAAGCGUUGUCCGGAUUUACUGGGCGUAAAGAGUAUGUAGGCGGAUAUUUAAGUAGAAAGUGAAAGGCUCGAGCUUAACUCGGACACUGCUUUCUAUACUGGAUAUCUUGAGUGCCGGAGAGGAAAGCGGAACGACACGUGUAGCGGUGAAAUGCGUUGAUAUGUGUCGGAACACCAAUGGCGAAGGCAGCUUUCUGGACGGAGCCGCAAGGCUUAAAACUGACGCUGAGAUACGAAAGCCG